UACAUGUGUUAUUGGUCAUUGUA
rnacentral:siRNA from 1 species